rnacentral:tRNA from 4 species
CCCCUUGUGGUGUAGUUGGCUAUCACGUUCGGCUGUAAAGGAAUUUAUUGAUUACCGAAAGGUCACCGGCUCGAUUCCGGUCGAGGGGA